rnacentral:rRNA from 1 species
GACGAACGCUGGCGGCGUGCCUAAUACAUGCAAGUCGAACGAGAGCGACCGGUGCUUGCACUGGUCAAUCUAGUGGCGAACGGGUGAGUAACACGUGGGUAACCUGCCCAUCAGAGGGGGAUAACAUCCGGAAACGGAUGCUAAAACCGCAUAGGUCUUCGAACCGCAUGGUUUGAAGAGGAAAAGAGGCGCAAGCUUCUGCUGAUGGAUGGACCCGCGGUGCAUUAGCUAGUUGGUGAGGUAACGGCUCACCAAGGCCGUGAUGCAUAGCCGACCUGAGAGGGUGAUCGGCCACAUUGGGACUGAGACACGGCCCAAACUCCUACGGGAGGCAGCAGUAGGGAAUCUUCCGCAAUGGACGCAAGUCUGACGGAGCAACGCCGCGUGAGUGAAGAAGGUUUUCGGAUCGUAAAACUCUGUUGUUAGAGAAGAACAAGUGCUAGAGUAACUGUUAGCGCCUUGACGGUAUCUAACCAGAAAGCCACGGCUAACUACGCG